rnacentral:rRNA from 1 species
UACGGGGGGGGCAAGCGUUGUUCGGAAUUACUGGGCGUAAAGGGCUCGUAGGCGGCCAACUAAGUCAGACGUGAAAUCCCUCGGCUUAACCGGGGAACUGCGUCUGAUACUGGAUGGCUUGAGAUUGGGAGAGGGAUGCGGAAUUCCAGGUGUAGCGGUGAAAUGCGUAGAUAUCAGGAGGAACACCUGCGGUGUAGACGGCUUUCUGGACCAUUGUUGACGCUGAGACACGAAAGCGUGGGUAGCAAACAGG